rnacentral:lncRNA from 1 species
AUGGUGGGUGCGAGCCAUGCCCGCGCCUGGAGAUGCCAAGGGGACUCAGGAGCAGCUGGGGGCUCUGGGCUCCGAGCGCUAAGCCUGAUGCCCGGGCCUGCGCCAGGGUGGCCAGGUGGACAGAGGGAGCUGGGCUGCAGCCAGGAGUGUCCAGUGUGGCCCUUGCAGAGAGGGGCCCAGGCCCUCAUGGGGCUCAGCCUCCCUGCCCCCACCCCACUUCUGGAGCUGUCCCCCCAGGUGUCACCAGAGCCACCAGCGUGGCGGACCCAGCGCCGCCCUCCCCUGCACCCACACUGCAGGCAGCACAGCGACUCUGGAGGACGCGUGGCUCUGCAGCCCAGGACGUGCCCCGACCGCACCUGCAGGCCUCCCUCUUCUGGGGCCGUGGGCACUGGCUCCCUGCACCUGCCGUGGGCGCGCCUUCCUCCGGGCCGCAUACCUGGCGCUGGGGUGCAGGCCCUGGCCUGCUCCACAUCCUGCUCUGCCCGCCUGCGGGCGUCUCCUCCUGCAGUCACCCCGAGCCUCUUGCACCACCAGGGUUUCCUGCCCCACCUGGCGGUGAGGUGGGGGCGGCUCCACCCUCUGCCUCCCAUCCACACAGCCCACAGCAGCCUCCCUUCGGCCGUCUGCUGCGUGUCAAUCCUUUGCUUACUGUGGUUUUUCAAGAAGCAAACUGAUGACGAUGCUGUGGGCUCCAACUGCACAACACCCUGGACGAGAGGGAGGGGGCGGGGGGAACAGGGGUCUGUGAUGGUGGGAAGGUACCUGGAGGGCAUGGCUGGUGGUCCUUCCCUGUCAGAACCAACACACAAGCUCUUUGUAAAAUCAAGUUCUCUUUGCUCCUGGACCUUAAACAUCGCGGUCGUGGUUUCCAGCCCUAAGGGACCACAGGGAUGGGUGUGUUCAGAGUGGGCCGGCUCAGGGAUGCUGAGAAACAAGGGACAGCAUGCCGCUCAGACUGCACAGGUGGGAGCUGGGCCAUCUGCUGAGGCUCCUGCCUCUCGGAGCGCCGCCCACCAUCCCACUGGCCCCCAGGGCUUGACUGCGGGGCCUCUGUGUUCGUGCUUCUCUCCCAGCGAUAGCAUGGCAGAAGGCUUUCUACGGAUGGCCGAGCCCACACCACCAGCUUUUCUGACCUCAGCAGCGACUGAAGUGCUCAAAGGGCUCGCCAUGGGGGGAGUGGAAAAUCUUGUUUCUUGCUUUAUUGGAAUUUUCCACAUAGGCCUUUGUGUUUCCUUCAAGCUCUGUUUCCUG